rnacentral:rRNA from 1 species
UACGUAUGGGGCAAGCGUUAUCCGGAAUUAUUGGGCGUAAAGCGUGCGUAGGUGGUUACCUAAGCGCAAGGUUUAAUCUUGAGGCUCAACCUCAUUCUGCCUUGCGAACUGGGCUACUUGAGUGCAGGAGGGGAAAGCGGAAUUCCCUGUGUAGCGGUGAAAUGCGUAGAUAUAAGGAAGAACGCCGGUGGCGAAGGCGGCUUUCUGGACUGCAAUUGACACUGAGGCACGAAAGCGUGGGGAGCAAACA